rnacentral:misc_RNA from 1 species
CGGAUGGCUAUUUGUUGGAAUUUAUGAUGGUUUUAAUGGCCCUGAUGCCCCGGAGUUUUUGAUGAGUAAUCUAUACAAAGCUAUGUAUAAAGAAUUGGAGGGUUUAUUUUGGAAUUUAUGAUGGUUUUAAUGGCCCUGAUGCCCCGGAGUUUUUGAUGAGUAAUCUAUACAAAGCUAUGUAUAAAGAAUUGGAGGGUUUAUUUUGGGAUAGUGAAGAUACUAGUAAUCCGGAAGGGGCAAAUCCAAGUUCAGAAAGCGAAGUGAUUGCUGCGAAUUCUAGCAUACCUGAUUCUAAUUUAGUACUGGGGGCAACUAAUAGCGGGGUUGGAGUAGAAGAAGGUGAAAGUGAGGUGAACUUGCAGCAGGUGGAUAGAAGGCCGUCAAAGAAGGUGACUUUUGAAUCAGGGGAGAUAGAAGUUAGGAGGAGGAGAUUGUGGGAAUUUUUAGCAGAAGAGGAUCCAGAAGAUGGUCUUGAUCUUUCGGGUUCAGAUAGAUUUGCAUUUUCAGUAGACGAUGCAUUAAGUGUAAAUAAUGCUGGUUCGGCAGUGAAUAGGAGGUCAUUGCUGUUGUCGAAAUUGAAACACGGUUUGUUAAGUAAGCACAAAGAGAGUAAGAAACUGUUCCCAUGGAAAUUUGGAUUGGAAUCUAAGGAGAAAGUUGAAGAGGAGGAGAAUAGAGUUGAGGAGGAAAGUACUAGUAGAAAUGAGAAGAGACGAAAGACGGGUCCAGUUGAUCAUGAUUUGGUUUUGAGG